UUGACCUCGAAUCAGGAGGGACUACCCGCUGAACUUAAGCAUAUCAAUAAGCGGAGGAAAAGAAACCAACAGG
rnacentral:rRNA from 1 species